rnacentral:rRNA from 1 species
AUUGAACGCUGGCGGCAGGCCUAACACAUGCAAGUCGAGCGGAGCGGCGGACGGGUGAGUAAUGCCUAGGAAGCUGCCUGGUAGUGGGGGAUAACGUCCGGCAACGGGCGCUAAUAACGCAGACUAUCCGAUGAGACUAGGUCGGAUUAGCUAGUUGGUUGGGUAAGGGCCCACCAAGGCGACGAUCCGUAACUGGUCUGAGAGGAUGAUCAGUCACACUUGAACGGAGACACGGUCCAGACUCCUACGGGAGGCAGCAGUGGGGAAUAUUGGACAAUGGGCGAAAGCCUGAUCCAGCCAUGCCGCGUGUGUGAAGAAGGUCUUCGGAUUGUAAAGCACUUUAAGUUGGGAGGCGUUACCAACAGAAGAAGCACCGGCUAACUUCGUGCCAGCAGCCGCGGUAAUUC